ACUUCCAAUGUAGACGUCCCUUAAUUCUUACGACUUAUUUCUUAUUCCAAGCUUACUCCACAUAUUGUAUACGACGCUUUAACGUCCGUCUACAAUGGGACAGAAAGUAGGCAGUAAAACCUAACGCCAAUCCCAUUGUAGACGGACUUUUAAAGGCCUUUGCACGUAGAAAAUUUUUAACCGUAACUAUAAAGCCCAUUCUUCAAUUGCGUAAGCGUAGUCGUGACCAUAAAGCGUCUUCUACAAUGGCAGUAGGAGUACUGGAUGAAGGGAGUAGUUGUAAGACGUAGACUGUAGGUUUAAGGCUUCCUUACGCCCGAGUGUCUACAAUAGCGUGUAGCAAGAAUUACAAUGAGCCAAUCAGCAUUGACAAAAGUUAUCUAUUUGUACAACGUGAAAACAUUACGAUAUAGGGUAAAUGUAUCAAUGCCCGGAUAUGUACCCAUCUCCGGACAUUGUUAUUAUUUUUAUAUUUGAAUAUGAAUAUUUCAACUUUCAACGUACAAUACAUACAUAUUGGUAUACAUACAUUUAAUAUUUAUAUUUAAUGUACAUUGAACGAUGAAAUAUUUAGAGAAAUAUUCAAAAUAAUAAGAACGGAAUUAAGUACAUGUCCAAGCAUUGGUACAUUUGUAGUAGCUAAAUAUUGAAGAAUGGAAAGAACAGUAAAAUAAAAAACAGUAAAUCAUUUAUAUAUUGUAAUAUACCUAUGAGACAUUCAAGUUGAACAUUCUUAGGUACUACUCCUAGUGCAAAUCCUAUGGCACUCAGCAUGGGCUUAAUAUCAGAAAAUGCAUCACUGACUAUUGCUGGCGGAACAUUUGGUGGUGGAACCGUUAUUGCUUUACCAAUCUUUGCUGCAAGGUCUGUCAAUCCUUUACUCUGUUCGAUUAAAGUCUUAUUGAUAGUAUCUACUUCUUGCCGUUUUUUGUUCGCAAAUGAAUCAGGUGUGGGCACUUUGCGCUUAGUAUUAAUGCUGGAUAUAGCUUUUUGCGCCUGUACAACUGUAUUAUUACUUCCAAAGUCUGAUCUAACUGAAGGUGAUGUUGAAGGAGAUGAUGUAGGAAGUGGCAAAAAGGAGUUUUCAGAUGUAUCUGUGAAACUCUUGUCAGUACCUAAAAAUGUAACAGACGAAUACUUCAGAUUAUGUUACAACAAACUGUGGACAUGCAAUAAGUCUUUUAAUCUCCUUACCUAUAAGAUUUGUUAAUGAAUCUGAAUUCCAACUGGACAUGUCUGAACUUGCUGCAGCAGACUGAGAAGAGAAAGGAUAAAUCGUGUGCACUGUCAUAUGACCAUCAGAAGGAGCAGAUGUAAAUGGUAAUGA